CCUACGGGAGGCAGCAGUGAGGAAUAUUGGUCAAUGGACGAGAGUCUGAACCAGCCAAGUAGCGUGAAGGAUGACUGCCCUAUGGGUUGUAAACUUCUUUUAUAUGGGAAUAAAAUGUUCCACGUGUGGGAUUUUGUAUGUACCAUAUGAAUAAGGAUCGGCUAACUCCGUGCCAGCAGCCGCGGUAAUACGGAGGAUCCGAUAGUUAUCCGGAUUUAUUGGGUUUAAAGGGAGCGUAGGUGGAUUGUUAAGUCAGUUGUGAAAGUUUGCGGCUCAACCGUAAAAUUGCAGUUGAAACUGGCAGUCUUGAGUACAGUAGAGGUGGGCGGAAUUCGUGGUGUAGCGGUGAAAUGCUUAGAUAUCACGAAGAACUCCAAUUGCGAAGGCAGUUCACUGGACUGCAACUGACACUGAGGCUCGAAAGUGUGGGUAUCAAACAGGAUUAGAUACCCUGGUAGUC
rnacentral:rRNA from 1 species